rnacentral:rRNA from 1 species
AUACGUAGGUGGCAAGGGUUGUCCGGAAUUAUUGGGCGUAAAGCGCAUGUAGGCGGUAAUUUAAGUCUGUCGUGAAACUGCGGGGCUCAGCCCCGUAUGGCGAUGGAAACUGGGUUACUUGAGUGCAGGCGAGGAAAGGGGAACUCCCAGUUUAGCGGUGAAAUGCGUAGAUAUUGGGGAGAACACCGGUGGCGACGGCGCCUUUCGGGAAGGAGAAGGACGCUGGGACGCGAAAGACAGGGCUGCGACCGGGAUGAGAUGCCUGGGUUGCCCUGGCCGUAAACGAUGGGUACUAGGUGUGGGAGGCAUCGACCCCUUCCGUGCCGGAGUUAACGUAAUAAGUAUCCCGCCUGGGGAGUACGGCCGCAAGGCUUAAACUCAAAUGAAUUGACGUGG